rnacentral:lncRNA from 1 species
CAUUAAAGGUACUGUGCCUACCUGCUAAGGAGUUCAGAAAGUUCAAAAAGCAGUAUGGAUAAGGAGAUGAUAAAAGGGAAGAGGGCAGCCCAAAGAUCAUCUAUAUCCCCAAGCUGAUAGCAUAAUGAAGAUACCUACUUUGUGACAAUGUUUUAUUGAUUCUGCAAACUUAUCUCACAGACCUAAAAAAAAAACCUGAGCAAUAUUUAUUCAGUAAUUAGGAGGUCUAUGCCCCACUGAGUCAGAGAAAGCAGCAAGCUUGAUAGGUUUGCUAUGGUCAGAAGAUGAUCUUGCAUCAGUUAUUGGAACUGACUAGU